CGGCCUGAGAGGGUGACCGGCCACACUGGGANUGANACACGGCCCANACUCCUACGGGAGGCAGCAGUGGGGNAUAUUGCACAAUGGGCGCAAGCCUGAUGCAGCAACGCCGCGUGAGGGAUGACGGCCUUCGGGUUGUAAACCUCUUUUAGUAGGGAAGAAGCGAAAGUGACGGUACCUGCAGAAAAAGCACCGGCUAACUACGUGCCAGCAGCCGCGGUAAUACGUAGGGUGCAAGCGUUGUCCGGAAUUAUUGGGCGUAAAGAGCUCGUAGGCGGCUUGUCGCGUCUGCUGUGAAAUCCCGGAGCUCAACUCCGGGCCUGCAGUGGGUACGGGCAAGCUAGAGUGCGGUAGGGGA
rnacentral:rRNA from 1 species